AACUCCUGCGGCGAAGGAGAGCGGGUUGUAAGGAGACUCGGGCUGGGGUCCCGGAGGGAGUCGGGAAGACUGAUUCUAUGUGGCGUCUGGGUCGCGAGCGGAGUUAGCUUAUCCUGCCGGGGGCUCCCGGGACAGGGCUGGAUUCUAGGGGUUUUGUUUUUGCUUUUCAAAGGGGAGGGGUGUGAGGAAGGAGGAGAAUGGACAGAAUAUUGACUGGAACGUUAAUUGGGGCUUUUCAGAUGGGAAGAGCAGAGUAAUUCCAUAUUCUUCUUCCUUCAUUUGCUCCAUUAGUUAGGCUGACUUCAUUUUUGAAUUCUUAACUUUGAAAUCGGCCAGUGUGUUUGAUUCAGGGGUUGGAGUUCGAUCCCAUUUAAAUGCAUUUUAAUUAGGGCACGCAGUUCAACUGAUGCUUACGAUGGAAUUUCUGAAGACGUGUGUACUUAGAAGAAAUGCAUGUACUGCGGUUUGCUUCUGGAGAAGCCACGCCAUACAAAAACUUUUAGUUGGAAAGAUUAGUACUACCUCUUCAAGGAGCACUGUCAUGCCCGCCUGGGUGAUAGAUAAAUACGGGAAGAAUGAAGUGCUUCGAUUUACUCAGAAUAUGAUGAUACCUGUCAUACACUAUCCAAAUGAAGUUAUUAUCAAAGUUCACGCUGCAAGUGUAAAUCCAAUAGAUGUUAACAUGAGAAGUGGUUAUGGAGCUACGGCUUUAAAUAUGAAACGUGAUCCUUUACAUAUUAAAACCAAAGGAGAAGAAUUUCCCCUGACUCUGGGUCGGGAUGUGUCUGGUGUGGUGAUGGAAUGUGGACUCGAUGUGAGGUACUUCAAGCCGGGAGAUGAGGUCUGGGCUGCAGUUCCUCCCUGGAAACAAGGCACCCUGUCAGAGUUUGUUGUAGUCAGCGGGAAUGAGGUCUCUCUCAAGCCUAAAUUACUCACUCAUACUCAAGCUGCCUCUCUGCCCUAUGUGGCUCUCACAGCCUGGUCUGCCAUAAACAAGGUUGGCGGCCUGAAUGACAAGAAUUGCCCAGGAAAACGUGUUUUAAUCCUGGGUGCUUCAGGUGGAGUUGGUACUUUUGCUAUACAGGUAAUGAAAGCAUGGGGUGCUAAUGUGACAGCAGUUUGCUCUCAGGAUGCCAGUGAACUUGUAAGGAAGCUUGGGGCAGAUGAUGUAAUUGAUUACAAAUCUGGAAAUGUGGAAGAGCAGUUGAAAUCUUUAAAACCGUUUGAUUUCAUUCUUGAUAAUGUUGGUGGAUCCACUGAAACAUGGGCUCUAAAUUUUCUCAAGAAAUGGUCAGGAGCCACAUAUGUGACUUUGGUGACCCCUUUUCUCCUGAACAUAGACCGACUGGGCAUCGCAGACGGCAUGCUGCAGACAGGAGUCACCGUGGGUUCUAAGGCAUUGAAGCAUUUCUGGCAAGGAGUCCAUUAUCGCUGGGCCUUUUUCAUAGCCAGUGGUGUGUAUCUAGAUGACAUUGCGAAACUGGUGGAAGAGGGAAAGAUUCAGCCAGUUAUUGAAAAAACGUUUCCUUUUUCUCAAGUUCCAGAAGCCUUCCUGAAGGUAGAAAGAGGACAUGCGAGAGGAAAGACCGUGAUUAAUGUCGUUUAAAUAAACACUGUGUGGUGAUUGUUGGCUGUCUUAUUUGUAGCUCAGACUCUAUUCCUGUGAGCUGCUAAAACUUGUGGCAUGUGGCUGGAUGGCAGCGUGAAGAGCUUCCUUCAAGCUACCUCCUUCUUGAAAACAGUGCUCCUGGAUGAUUCCAGCUGGGCACGGUUUCCUCUGCCCUGCUGUGGUCCUAACCACCCUCAGUUCUCAACCUCUCCUUAGGGUCACAUACAAAAUCUGGCUGCUGAUUUGGUUGUUGACUCUCAAGAAAAUGAAAGGGGACGCUAAAGUUUCUAACUUUACAUGUUGCAUAAAGGCUAGGCCUCUUUCAGCAAUCGAAGCAUGCUUCUCUGAGGACUUUUCCAUGGAAAUGGCAACUCUUCUCCAGUGUCUGACCUUAAAUGCCUGCACUUAGUUAUCUCACCAAUAAGCCCCCUGCAGCUUUUGAAUUUGUCUGUGACCUUCACUCAAGAUCCUGCCGUCCGGCUUCAUGCUCCAGAACUGACUGUCGACAUUCUGGUCGAGGGCGAGGCCCAGUUUAGAGCCAGAGGUCACGAGGCUCCCCACGAUCGUCAGGCAGCAGUCUUCUGCUAUCUGCUUAUGGGAAAGAAGGCAGCUGAGAGACGGAGACAUGUUCAAGGAUCAUGACCAGUUCUUGGCACGAAUUGACUUUUAAAGUUGUCUUCGUUGUCCACUUCAUUUACCCCAGAGGAGGCUUUAGCCAGAGGAACUGGGAUCAAGCAACAAAUACUUAUACCUUCAUUUCAGGUGACACGAGUGCUGGAAAGUUCUCCAUUCUUGUCCAUUGUAAGAUUUCUGCCCUUCGUGAGUCAGGGGAACCUUAGAACAUUAGUUCUCCCUUUCAGAAAUGACCAUGAUCAGAGGCGGGAGUCUAUUGCUGUAUCUCCCCUGACCUAACCAUCUCUGCUCAGCCUGACCCUUCUGGAAUGUGACUGCAUCUUUAAUUUGAAAGGCUGUUGUAACACUGAAAUAGCUUAAAGGGCAUUUUAUUAUUUUAAAACUUGAAAUUCCACCUACUCACUUGUCUUUCCUUCAUGAGAACUGUCUAGAAAGUUCCAAAAAGGCAACUAUAAAAAGAGGAUAAAAUACAAAUGCAGUGGAGUGUGAAUUAAUGCAAAGAUUUUAAGGGGCCUUUUCUGAAGUGAAUCUACCCUCUCUAUAUACAUAUGUUCACGUGAUGUUAACACAUCCUGCUACAGAAAAUGCUUAUGAAAAGUGUAUAAUAGAUAAAAAGAGUGAUAAUCUGGGACACUGUUUCUCAUUGACCUACUGAAUUCACAGUUAACAUCACUAAAGUGUUUAUUAGAAGUAAUUAUAAGUAAUUGCUGAAAGGCACUGUUUUCUUGAAGUGUUUAAUUCAAAGACAGAAGUUGGCUUUUUUUAUGCUUCUACAGUCCAGCCCCUUCUGCUUCUCAUGCUAUUUCUUCUACGCCUGUCUAAACAGUACUUCCGCUUACUGAAAGGAUGAUUCUCCCUCAAGCACAACAGACCCAAUUAACAGGUUGUGCUCCCUUCCGCAGGGCUGUAUGCCUUCUGCUGACUCAUGGGCACCAAGGUUUAAGAAAAAAAUCGGGAGCAAACAGUCAAGCCCAAGAAGGAGUUAAAAAGACUAUCUACAACAGAAGCGUGAGCCUCUCUAAUGAAGUCUUAUAGUACAUUCAGCUUUACCAUGUCUUAUAUGGCAGGAGGGAUGCAACAGGGAGACAGACCAUUUUCCAUUUUACAAGGUAUGACAAUUAGGCAGUGGACUGUGUUGUACACAGGGUCAUAUGUCUUUGCCCUAGUCUGCAGGGUCCUCCAAAAUAAAACAAGAAUGAUUUGCAUUUACAGUGCUGGGGCUUCUUGAAAUAAAUCAUAAUAAGUAGAUUAAGGAAAAGGGGGAAAAUAACACAGACACUUCCUUCUAUUACUACAUAAUCAGGUAUGGAUGUAAAUAUUCCAUCCUGGAUCAGUGCUAGGUUUACCUCCCGUUUUAAGUUCCUAGAUUGGUUGGUUCUAUCAGCAAAUAAAUAUUUUCAUGGAAAACCUUCUAAUUUAGUUCUCAAAGUGCUCCAGGAAGUGUGAAAUACCAUCUACUUGAAGAAAGAGGCUAUUACAAACCCUUAUCUAAUCCUAAAAGCUCACCCUGCAUUUGAUGCAUCCUUCUUGAUAAAUCCAAAUCUGAUCAUCAGCACCGACAUCUUCCAUGACCUGUAUUCUAAGAAGCUUCAGAUCCUCUAAGUUUCCAUUGGUGGACAUGAAUAACCCCGUUGCUUUGUUUCGAAGUCUGAAAUAAAUUCGUUUCUG